CGAAUCAUCGUUUAUUUGCACGAUAGAAAGACUUGCAGUGGGCGUCGUUGCCAAUGUACAACACACACACGCAAAAUAAAAUAAAAAAAGUGGGGGGGGGUAGUAACUCUUGACGUAUUUAUUAUUCAGUAAGACACGCGAUUUUGUGUGUGUGUGUGUGUGUGUGCGGCUUGAAGAAGAACUUGUGGUGGGAGUAGACGCUCUGAAUUGUUAACAGUAAUCGACGCGCUUGGCGUCAUCACAACUUUGAAGGGCAAGGGGGGUGGGUUAGAAAAAAGGCUGGGGACGGUCCCGAAAAAAAGUGUGAUAAAAUAUUUAAUGGAUGGCUGGCCAAAGGGAAUGGCUGCUAUUGUGAUUUUGUUUGUUUAAUUUUACGCACGGCAGGUAUCGCGCUCUUUUAAAGCUUUGAAUAGGUAAUAACAUCCCAGGAAGUUGGAAGACCUUUUUUUUUUUUAGGUGCGUUUUGGAGAGAGAGAGAGGGGGAAACGGAGGUACAUUUUUGUGGUGUCUAAUGGACGGACGGUAAGCUACACUGGACACGCCAUGGAAACAAAAGAAGUUGCCUGGAAAGCACUUCACAAAAGGAAAGUAGCGCGUUUUCACCGUGUCGCCCAUCGCUAUGUCGCAAUUGCUCGUGACGUCGAGCUGAUGGUUUGUUUAAACAGCCCCCCAAACAUUUUUCAUGUUGCAUUUUCAAAUUACCCGCCGUCCUUGUUUUUGUUUUAACGAGAGACAGGUUGUGAUCGUUGAUCAGUAGGCCGUAACCUACGAUGAUUUCUAAGAAAAAAGAAAAUGGUGUGUGUGUGUGUGUGUUUAAAAGGAGGGGUAGGAGCUGUCGUGAUGGAGACACGAUGUGAGCGCAAGCCAUUUGAUGUUUGGUAAGGAAAGGGUUGCCUCGGCGAUGUAUAGCUUCUUUUUAAAAACAUGAUGUACACGCUCGGAGUGUAUUGUGUGCACAUUUAUCCACAUAGCCAUUGGCUAGGAAGAAAAGGUCUGAAAUUGCGCAACAAAUGAUUUUAGUUUUUAAUUCAUUUCUUUUUGAUUAACAGGCAAUGAACGUGUGAAAUUGAUGAUGAUUGUGCCGACAUUGGUUGGGGAAACGUCUCGAGCCGUGUGAGCUGCUGCUUGCUGCGUUUGAUUAAUGUAAUCAAACACCCCCCGCAAGUGCUGCAUCGAGUAUUUCAUUUAAUUUUUUUUUUGCCUCGUUGAAGUCAAUUAGAUGGGCGAAAAAAAAAAAAUUCGUGAAUUAAUCCGUGUGUACCAAGUGUGUCUCUCCGUUUCUCUAUGAGAUGAUGAUGAAAGACCUUCAAGACCAGUCUCCCCCCUCCGCUAUUAAACAAGAGCCGGAUGACAGAUGGAAGUCCAUAUACCACGUCAAACAUUUGUCUUCUUUUUCUCUGGAAAGCGCUAGCUGCUUAAAAGGGCCAAUGAAGUGGUGGUUUUGCACAGACAUUUCGCCUUCCCAUCCCCACUUCCUCGACGUGUUAUAUGACGAAGUGUGACAGCCCUGCAGUGGACAUAACACUUGAAAAUUGGGCCCUUUCCUGAGGGGC